UACGUAGGGUGCGAGCGUUGUCCGGAAUUAUUGGGCGUAAAGAGCUCGUAGGCGGUUUUGUUGCGUCGGCUGUGAAAUCCCGAGGCUCAACCUCGGGUCUGCAGUCGAUACGAGCAAACUAGAGUGUUGCAGGGGAGACUGGAAUUCCUGGUGUAGCGGUGAAAUGCGCAGAUAUCAGGAGGAACACCGGUGGCGAAGGCGGGUCUCUGGGCAACAACUGACGCUGAGGAGCGAAAGCGUGGGGAGCGAACAGG
rnacentral:rRNA from 1 species